rnacentral:rRNA from 1 species
GGAGGGAUCAUUACUGAGUUUACGCUCUAUAACCCUUUGUGAACAUACCUAUAACUGUUGCUUCGGCGGGUAGGGUCUCCGCGACCCUCCCGGCCUCCCGCCUCCGGGCGGGUCGGCGCCCGCCGGAGGAUAACCAAACUCUGAUUUAACGACGUUUCUUCUGAGUGGUACAAGCAAAUAAUCAAAACUUUUAACAACGGAUCUCUUGGUUCUGGCAUCGAUGAAGAACGCAGCGAAAUGCGAUAAGUAAUGUGAAUUGCAGAAUUCAGUGAAUCAUCGAAUCUUUGAACGCACAUUGCGCCCGCCAGCAUUCUGGCGGGCAUGCCUGUUCGAGCGUCAUUUCAACCCUCAAGCUCUGCUUGGUGUUGGGGCCCUACAGCUGAUGUAGGCCCUCAAAGGUAGUGGCGGACCCUCCCGGAGCCUCCUUUGCGUAGUAACUUUACGUCUCGCACUGGGAUCCGGAGGGACUCUUGCCGUAAAACCCCCCAAUUUUCCAAAGGUUGACCUCGGAUCAGGUAGGAAUACCCGCUGAACUUAAGCAUAUCAAUAA